AGUGAACGCUGGCGGUAGGCCUAACACAUGCAAGUCGAACGACAGCACAGUAAGAGCUUCCUCUUACGGGUGGCGAGUGGCGGACGGGUGAGGAAUACAUCGGAAUCUACUUUUUCGUGGGGGAUAACGUAGGGAAACUUACGCUAAUACCGCAUACGACCUACGGGUGAAAGCAGGGGAUCUUCGGACCUUGCGCGAUUGAAUGAGCCGAUGUCGGAUUAGCUAGUUGGCGGGGUAAAGGCCCACCAAGGCGACGAUCCGUAGCUGGUCUGAGAGGAUGAUCAGCCACACUGGAACUGAGACACGGUCCAGACUCCUACGGGAGGCAGCAGUGGGGAAUAUUGGACAAUGGGCGCAAGCCUGAUCCAGCCAUACCGCGUGGGUGAAGAAGGCCUUCGGGUUGUAAAGCCCUUUUGUUGGGAAAGAAAAGCAGCAGGUUAAUACCCCGCUGUUCUGACGGUACCCAAAGAAUAAGCACCGGCUAACUUCGUG
rnacentral:rRNA from 1 species